CCUACGGGUGGCAGCAGUGGGGAAUAUUGCACAAUGGGGGGAACCCUGAUGCAGCGACGCCGCGUGGGUGAAGGAGUAUUUCGGUAUGUAAAGCCCUAUCAGCAGGGAAGAACAAUGACGGUACCUGACUAAGAAGCACCGGCUAAAUACGUGCCAGCAGCCGCGGUAAUACGUAUGGUGCAAGCGUUAUCCGGAUUUACUGGGUGUAAAGGGAGCGCAGGCGGCGCGUUAAGCCUGGUGUGAAAGUCCGCGGCCCAACCGCGGGACUGCAUUUGGAACUGGAGCGCUGGAGUGCCGGAGGGGCAGGCGGAAUUCCUGGUGUAGCGGUGAAAUGCAUAGAUAUCACGCAGAACCCCGAUUGCGAAGGCAGCAUGCCGGUGCACAACUGACGCUGAGGCACGAAAGCGUGGGUAUCGAACAGGAUUAGAUACCCCAGUAGUC
rnacentral:rRNA from 1 species